UUUUAGCUAUGAUAGAGGAUAACAGUUUAUAGUCUACAUUUAGUACCGAUAUCGGUCUGUAGUUGUGGCAGUAUUCUUGAUCUUUACCUUCCUUUGGGAUUACAGAAAUAAUGGCUUCUUUCCAAGAAGGAGGCAUCUUGCCAGUCCUAAGACUAUAAUUAAACGAGUCAUAUAACAGUGGUGUUAAUUCUUCUUUGAAGGUUUUACUGUACAUUCUGAUUGGUAGGAGAUUCUUCUUCUUGUUUUAUGGCGGUUGGCAAACAACUUACAGGUGCAUUACCGCCACCUUCCAGGUUGGAGUAUGGCUGGUAGGAGAUUGAAUCCACCUGGUUCUCAUCACUCCAGGAGAGAAGAAAGAUGCAGCAGAGGGGAGUGGCUUGCUGGCAGUUUGUCAGAACAGAUAUAAACAAACUUAUGUUGGUUUCAGAAAUAAGUAUUUUAUCAAUUUCAGUGAGACUUAUGAUUAUUACUGUAACAGGUGGCACCAUUAGGUGUCGCACUCUCUCCAGCCUGUGCCUCCAUAAAAGGGAAGCUGGAAGACCAGCUGUGUGUUGGGCCCACGCUGUUUGCUGGCUGUGGACUGCAUUGUUGAUGGUGUUGGCUGGUAGCGUUACCUGGGCGUGGUUGUUCGACGCCGCAGCGUUGCACCAGAUUGGAUACACCAAGGUUUGAUCUGAGAGUGUUGAUUUAUGCAAUGCAGUGUAAGCAGAUUAAUCUGAAAGAGGAAGCCAGGAGUUAGAAAAUCUAAAGACUUUCCUGUCUCAGAAGAGACUCUGGCUCCACCAGGUCACCAACCAGCUCUGAGGAUGAAGCUCCACAUCGUCUUCAUGGUGGAAGGAUUUUUAUUUUUACUGAGCAGCUGGCUACAUUUUUAACAGCAAAAACUGGGCCUGUGAUGGACUGGUGACCUGUCCAGGGUGAACCCUGCCUCUCAUCUGAUGACAGCUGGAGAUGGGCACCACUUUUUAGAUUAUCAUGCAGAGAAAAUGGAGUACUUAUAAUUAUCUUGCCACCCAGAAAAGGAUUUACAAUAAACUUAUAAUCCAGAAAAACUA